UAGCUAGGGACCAAAAUUCAAAGACAAAAUGGAUUUUCAAGUGCAGAUUUUCAGCUUCUUGCUAAUCAGUGCCUCAGUCAUAAUGUCCAGAGGACAAAUUAUUCUCACCCAGUCUCCAGCAAUCAUGUCUGCAUCUCCAGGGGAGAAGGUCACUAUGACCUGCAGUGCCAGCUCAAGUGUAAGUUCCGGCUACUUGCACUGGUACCAGCAGAAGCCAGGCACUUCUCCCAAACUCUGGAUUUAUGGCACAUCCAACCUGGCUUCUGGAGUCCCAGGUCGUUUCAGUGGCAGUGGGUCUGGGACUUCUUAUUCUCUCACGAUCAGCAGCAUGGAGGCUGAAGAUGCUGCCAUUUAUUACUGCCAGCAGUGGAGUAGUAACCUACCCACACAGUGA